UUCCGGUUGAUCCUGCCGGACCCGACCGCUAUCGGGGUGGGGCUUAGCCAUGCGAGUCAAGCGCCCCAGGGACCCGCUGGGGUGCGGCGCACGGCUCAGUAACACGUGGCCAACCUACCCUCGGGAGGGGGAUAACCCCGGGAAACUGGGGCUAAUCCCCCAUAGGGGAAGGGUGCUGGAAGGCCCCUUCCCCGAAAAGGGCCACGUCCGGCACCCGGCGUGGCUCGCCCGAGGAUGGGGCUACGGCCCAUCAUGGUAGCUGGCGGGGUAACGGCCCGCCAGGCCGAAGACGGGUGGGGGCCGUGAGAGCGGGAGCCCCGAGAUGGGCACUGAGACAAGGGCCCAGGCCCUAUGGGGUGCAGCAGGCUCGAAUACUCCGCAAUGCGGUAACCCGCGACGGGGCCACCCCGAGUGCCGCCCGAUGAGGGCGGCUUUUCCCCCGUGUAAGGAGCGGGGGGAAUAAGCGGGGGGCAAGUCUGGUGUCAGCCGCCGCGGUAAUACCAGCUCCGCGAGUGGUUGGGGCGUUUACUGGGCCUAAAGCGCCCGUAGCCGGCCCGGUAAGUCACCCCUGAAAUCCAUGGGCUCAACCCAUGGGCCGGGGGUGAUACUGCCGGGCUUGGGGGUGGGAGAGGCCGAGGGUACUCCCGAGGUAGGGGCGAAAUCCGAUAAUCUCGGGAGGACCACCAGUGGCGGAAGCGCUCGGCUGGAACACGCCCGACGGUGAGGGGCGAAAGCUGGGGGAGCAAAGGGGAUUAGAUACCCCUGUAGUCCCAGCUGUAAACGAUGCGGGCUAGCUGUUGGGUGGGCUUAGGGCCCGCCCAGUGGCGUAGGGAAGCCGUUAAGCCCGCCGCCUGGGGAGUACGGCCGCAAGGCUGAAACUUAAAGGAAUUGGCGGGGGGGCACCACAAGGGGUGAAGCUUGCGGCUUAAUUGGAGUCAACGCCGGG
rnacentral:rRNA from 1 species